AUUGAACGCUGGCGGAAUGCUUUACACAUGCAAGUCGAACGGCAGCAUAGGUGCUUGCACCUGAUGGCGAGUGGCGAACGGGUGAGUAAUACAUCGGAACGUGCCCAGUCGUGGGGGAUAACGUAGCGAAAGUUACGCUAAUACCGCAUACGAUCUAAGGAUGAAAGCGGGGGACCGUAAGGCCUUGCGCGAUUGGAGCGGCCGAUGUCAGAUUAGGUAGUUGGUGAGGUAAAGGCUCACCAAGCCGACGAUCUGUAGCUGGUCUGAGAGGACGACCAGCCACACUGGGACUGAGACACGGCCCAGACUCCUACGGGAGGCAGCAGUGGGGAAUUUUGGACAAUGGACGCAAGUCUGAUCCAGCCAUUCCGCGUGCAGGACGAAGGCCUUCGGGUUGUAAACUGCUUUUGUACGGAACGAAAAAGCUCUUACUAAUACUAGGAGUCCAUGACGGUACCGUAAGAAUAAGCACCGGCUAACUACGUGCCAGCAGCCGCCGCGG
rnacentral:rRNA from 1 species